GACGAACGCUGGCGGCGUGCCUAAUACAUGCAAGUCGAGCGGACUGAAUGGGAGCUUGCUCUUGUUCGGUCAGCGGCGGACGGGUGAGUAACACGUGGGCAACCUGCCCGCAAGACCGGGAUAACUCCGGGAAACCGGAGCUAAUACCGGAUAACACCGAAGACCGCAUGGUCUUUGGUUGAAAGGCGGCGCAAGCUGCCACUUGCGGAUGGGCCCGCGGCGCAUUAGCUAGUUGGUGAGGUAACGGCUCACCAAGGCGACGAUGCGUAGCCGGCCUGAGGGGGUGACCGGCCACACUGGGACGGAGACACGGCCCAGACUCCUACGGGAGGCAGCAGUAGGGAAUCUUCCGCAAUGGGCGAAAACCUGACGGAGCGACGCCGCGUGAGCGAAGAAGGCCGUCGGGUCGUAAAGCUCUGUUGUGAGGGACGAAGGAGCGCCGUUUGAAGAAGGCGGCGCGGUGACGGUACCUCACGAGGAAGCCCCGGCUAACUACGUG
rnacentral:rRNA from 1 species